rnacentral:rRNA from 1 species
CCUACGGGUGGCAGCAGUGAGGAAUAUUGGUCAAUGGGCGAGAGCCUGAACCAGCCAAGUAGCGUGAAGGAUGACUGCCCUACGGGUUGUAAACUUCUUUUAUAAGGGAAUAAAGUGAGGCACGUGUGGCUUUUUGUAUGUACUUUAUGAAUAAGGAUCGGCUAACUCCGUGCCAGCAGCCGCGGUAAUACGGAGGAUCCGAGCGUUAUCCGGAUUUAUUGGGUUUAAAGGGAGCGUAGAUGGGUUGUUAAGUCAGUUGUGAAAGUUUGCGGCUCAACCGUAAAAUUGCAAUUGAAACUGGCAGACUUGAGUACAGAAGAGGUAAGUGGAACUCGUGGUGUAGCGGUGAAAUGCGUAGAUAUCACGAAGAACACCAGUGGCGAAGGCGGCUUACUGGACUGCAACUGACGUUGAGGUUCGAAAGUGUGGGUAGCAAACAGGAUUAGAUACCCUUGUAGUC